rnacentral:rRNA from 1 species
GACAGAGGGUGCAAACGUUGUUCGGAAUUACUGGGCGUAAAGCGCAUGUAGGCGGCAACGCAAGUCGGGCGUGAAAUCCCACGGCUCAACCGUGGAAGUGCACUCGAAACUGCGUAGCUAGAGUCCUGGAGAGGAAGGUGGAAUGCUUGGUGUAGAGGUGAAAUUCGUAGAUAUCAAGCGGAACACCGGUGGCGAAGGCGGCCUUCUGGACAGUGACUGACGCUGAGAUGCGAAAGCGUGGGGAGCAAACGGG